UACGUAGGGGGCAAGCGUUGUCCGGAAUCAUUGGGCGUAAAGAGCGUGUAGGCGGCCCGGUAAGUCCGCUGUGAAAGUCCAGGGCUCAACCCUGGGAUGCCGGUGGAUACUGUCGGGCUCGAGUCCGGAAGAGGAGUGUGGAAUUCCUGGUGUAGCGGUGAAAUGCGUAGAUAUCAGGAGGAACACCGGUGGCGAAGGCGGCCCUCUGGACGGAUACUGACGCUGAGACGCGACAGCGUGGGGAGCAAACAGG
rnacentral:rRNA from 1 species